rnacentral:rRNA from 1 species
CUCUAGAGAUUAGAGUUUGAUCCUGGCUCAGGAUGAACGCUGGCGGCGUGCCUAAUACAUGCAAGUCGAACGCACAGCGAAAGGUGCUUGCACCUUUCAAGUGAGUGGCGAACGGGUGAGUAACACGUGGACAACCUGCCUCAAGGCUGGGGAUAACAUUUGGAAACAGAUGCUAAUACCGAAUAAAACUUAGUGUCGCAUGACACAAAGUUAAAAGGCGCUUCGGCGUCACCUAGAGAUGGAUCCGCGGUGCAUUAGUUAGUUGGUGGGGUAAAGGCCUACCAAGACAAUGAUGCAUAGCCGAGUUGAGAGACUGAUCGGCCACAUUGGGACUGAGACACGGCCCAAACUCCUACGGGAGGCUGCAGUAGGGAAUCUUCCACAAUGGGCGAAAGCCUGAUGGAGCAACGCCGCGUGUGUGAUGAAGGCUUUCGGGUCGUAAAGCACUGUUGUAUGGGAAGAACAGCUAGAAUAGGAAAUGAUUUUAGUUUGACGGUACCAUACCAGAAAGGGACGGCUAAAUACGUGCCAGCAGCCGCGGUAAUACGUAUGUCCCGAGCGUUAUCCGGAUUUAUUGGGCGUAAAGCGAGCGCAGACGGUUUAUUAAGUCUGAUGUGAAAGCCCGGAGCUCAACUCCGGAAUGGCAUUGGAAACUGGCUAACUUGAGUGCAGUAGAGGUAAGUGGAACUCCAUGUGUAGCGGUGGAAUGCGUAGAUAUAUGGAAGAACACCAGUGGCGAAGGCGGCUUACUGGACUGCAACUGACGUUGAGGCUCGAAAGUGUGGGUAGCAAACAGGAUUAGAUACCCUGGUAGUCCACACCGUAAACGAUGAACACUAGGUGUUAGGAGGUUUCCGCCUCUUAGUGCCGAAGCUAACGCAUUAAGUGUUCCGCCUGGGGAGUACGACCGCAAGGUUGAAACUCAAAGGAAUUGACGGGGACCCGCACAAGCGGUGGAGCAUGUGGUUUAAUUCGAAGCAACGCGAAGAACCUUACCAGGUCUUGACAUCCUUUGAAGCUUUUAGAGAUAGAAGUGUUCUCUUCGGAGACAAAGUGACAGGUGGUGCAUGGUCGUCGUCAGCUCGUGUCGUGAGAUGUUGGGUUAAGUCCCGCAACGAGCGCAACCCUUAUUGUUAGUUGCCAGCAUUCAGAUGGGCACUCUAGCGAGACUGCCGGUGACAAACCGGAGGAAGGCGGGGACGACGUCAGAUCAUCAUGCCCCUUAUGACCUGGGCUACACACGUGCUACAAUGGCGUAUACAACGAGUUGCCAACCCGCGAGGGUGAGCUAAUCUCUUAAAGUACGUCUCAGUUCGGAUUGUAGUCUGCAACUCGACUACAUGAAGUCGGAAUCGCUAGUAAUCGCGGAUCAGCACGCCGCGGUGAAUACGUUCCCGGGUCUUGUACACACCGCCCGUCACACCAUGGGAGUUUGUAAUGCCCUAAGCCGGUGGCCUAACCUUUUAGGAAGGAGCCGUCUAAGGCAGGACAGAUGACUGGGGUGAAGUCGUAACAAGGUAACC